UACGUAGGGUGCAAGCGUUUGUCCGGAAUUAUUGGGCGUAAAGAGCUCGUAGGCGGCUUGUCGCGUCGGCUGUGAAAACCUGGGGCUCAACCCCGGGCCUGCAGCCGAUACGGGCAGGCUAGAGUUCGGUAGGGGAGACUGGAGUUCCUGGUGUAGCGGUGAAAUGCGCAGAUAUCAGGAGGAACACCGGUGGCGAAGGCGGGUCUCUGGGCAACAACUGACGCUGAGGAGCGAAAGCGUGGGGGAGCGAACAGG
rnacentral:rRNA from 1 species